CUUAUUCAUUCUUUUUUUGCAUUUCAGUGGAAGAUUUAUCCUCUGAAACUUCGGGUGAGGAUCUAGGUUUUUGAUCUUCUGGGGCCAGAUCUUUUUUUAUCCGACAUUUUGGUUAAAUAUUGUUCAAAAUUGAUGUUUUUCAGGUGAAUGUAUGUCGUUCUCUUUUUUCAGUUAUAGCGAUUGUUAUUUUGUUGGAAAAUUUAUUCUGGAAAUUUAAUCUUCUUGUCUUCGACAUUUGGGUUGAGGAUUGUUCAAGAUCCAUUUAUUUUCAGGUGAAAGCACGUCGUUCUCUUUUUUCAAUUGUUAUUUUGUCUUACUCACUUUACUCUCUUCGGAAUUUGUGGGGUCAAUAUUGUUCAAGAUCCAUGUUUUUUAGGUAUUAUUUUUCUCUCUUUUCAUAAGCUGAUAUCUAUUUUUUCUUUUUUAGGUUAAAAGCUAAUACUUAGGCUCUGAACGUUGUAGUCGUUGUUGUCUUUGGAAAGGUGAUUGAUUUAUUGUACAUGUUUUCCUCUUUUCUUUUCUCUGUCGAUGUUUCUUUUCUCCAUUAGCUUAGAAUUAAAGAAAUAAAAUUCGACAGAGAUUGGGGAUUUCUUCAAGGAUGGUUACCCCUCUCUGUUUACCCCCAAUAAUUUUUCCAUUUUUUCAAAACAAACAACCUUUUAACUUGGAAACCCAGAAGCAAAAGAACAAAUACAUGACACGUUUUUCGUUUAGUCGUCGUUCAAUAAUUGGAUGAUGACGGAUUUUUCUCCAGUUGGGAUUUUCUCACCAUUAGUAGAUCGGCAAACUUGAAGGUUUGAUGUUAUUGACUUAUAAUGUUCUAACAUCAUCAAUUAGGCUAGACGCUAUGUUUAAGAUAUGUUGGAGUUAUCCACAAACAUGAUGCGGUAUUCAAAGUGGUGUAGUAUUUUGGGAAGCAGGUUACUGAUUCCAUUGUUUUUUUUUUUUUUUUGGGGCACAAUUGAAGCAAUUCAUAUUACCCAGGAAACUCAAAACAAGUUCUUACAAUGCAAUAAGGCCGUACAUCUUGUGAGCCUUGCCUCGGGAUCUAGCAACCCAUACUUUGGGAAUUUUAGUUAGUUAAGGUCAUCUCUUUUUUGUAGUGGUAUACUAUGUUCACAUCACUAGUCGGUGUGAAGUCUCAGAUAAGAAAACGCCGUUGAAAUGGCUUCAAUGUUAUAUUGCUCGUGCUAUGUUUUAUAUUGCAUUAUCAUAUGUAUGUUUUUAUUUACAA